UUAAAGCUUUUUGCUUCUCCUAGGAAUAUUCAUUCAGCUCAAGAGCUGUUCGAGCAAAGGGCUGCACUCUGCUCACUUCCUGGUCCAUGAGAUAAUAUGUGGAGGCUCUGCCAAUCCUAUAUAUUCCUGUUGCAACCUGCCCGUAUAAUGACUGCAUCUCCAGGGACCAAUGGGACAAUCAGUGAGGAGUACAGAAGAUUUAGUCAGAAGGUCUGGGUUCAAAUCCAGUUCAUCACCUUCCCAGACUGCAAUUCACUUGAGGAGUCCUCCCCCAAGGCACUUUCAGU